rnacentral:rRNA from 1 species
AUGUCUGGAGAACCACUUGAUACAAGCCAGGGCCCUAAAGGGACGAAAUGGAUUUUUGUUAUGAGCACAGCAAAGAAACUGUAUGCUGGGAAGAAAGAGAGAGGUGUAUUCCAGCACUCCAGCUUUUUAGCAGGAGGUGCUACCAUAGCUGCUGGACGGUUUAUUGCAGAAAAUGGAGUCAUCAAGUCCAUCUGGGCCUAUAGUGGACAUUACAAACCGAGUGCGGAAAACCUUAGCAACUUCCUGAGCUUUCUAGAAGAGAAUGGAGUUGAUCUGAAAGAAGUUGAGGUGUGCUCAUUCACCAAGGAAGACUACUAUGAAGAUCCAGUGCCCAAUACCAAACAGAACCCUGCUGCUGCUAUCAUAUCAUCCAAUCCUUCACAAUUGAUUCUUCCUUCCAACAAGGCAUCUGGGGCAUCUUCACAGACUGAAGCUGACGAAGGCAAUAAUAUCCGUGCAGAGCAAGCAAGAGCAACCUACCAAAGAACCUUAUCAGGUGGCCUGCAAAGCCCCAGAGAUGCCGGCGUCUCACAGGAGGCAAUUCUUGAGAGGGUGAAUUCCAAGAGCAAGUCAAAAUCCUACCAGCUCGGCCACAGGCUGUCCCUGAAAUGGAGCACUGGGAAUGGUCCAAGAAUUGGUUGUGUGAAGGACUAUCCAAUGGAGCUCAGAAUACAAGCGCUGGAGAUGGUACAACAGUCUACAACUCUCACCAAGGGCAUCGACUCCUCCGGCCACAUGGAGGGCACCGGAAUGCCUCUUGCCCACCUUGCAAAUGUCGCCCCUCGUGCCAGUGCAGACCUCCCUGCCCCAGCCAAGUAA